rnacentral:rRNA from 1 species
UACGAAGGGGGCUAGCGUUGCUCGGAAUGACUGGGCGUAAAGGGCGCGUAGGCGGAUGUUACAGUCAGGCGUGAAAAUUCCUGGGCUCAACCUGGGGGCUGCGUUUUGAUACGUGAUGUCUGGAGUUCGGAAGAGGGUCGUGGAAUUCCCAGUGUAGAGGUGAAAUUCGUAGAUAUUGGGAAGAACACCGGUGGCGAAGGCGGCGACCUGGUCCUGGACUGACGCUGAGGCGCGAAAGCUGGGGAGCAAACCGG